rnacentral:rRNA from 2 species
UUGAAGAGUUUGAUCAUGGCUCAGAUUGAACGCUGGCGGCAGGCCUAACACAUGCAAGUCGAACGGUAACAGGAAGCAGCUUGCUGCUUUGCUGACGAGUGGCGGACGGGUGAGUAAUGUCUGGGAAACUGCCCGAUGGAGGGGGAUAACUACUGGAAACGGUAGCUAAUACCGCAUAACGUCGCAAGACCAAAGAGGGGGACCUUAGGGCCUCUUGCCAUCGGAUGUGCCCAGAUGGGAUUAGCUAGUAGGUGGGGUAAUGGCUCACCUAGGCGACGAUCCCUAGCUGGUCUGAGAGGAUGACCAGCCACACUGGAACUGAGACACGGUCCAGACUCCUACGGGAGGCAGCAGUGGGGAAUAUUGCACAAUGGGCGCAAGCCUGAUGCAGCCAUGCCGCGUGUAUGAAGAAGGCCUUCGGGUUGUAAAGUACUUUCAGCGGGGAGGAAGGGAGUAAAGUUAAUACCUUUGCUCAUUGACGUUACCCGCAGAAGAAGCACCGGCUAACUCCGUGCCAGCAGCCGCGGUAAUACGGAGGGUGCAAGCGUUAAUCGGAAUUACUGGGCGUAAAGCGCACGCAGGCGGUUUGUUAAGUCAGAUGUGAAAUCCCCGGGCUCAACCUGGGAACUGCAUCUGAUACUGGCAAGCUUGAGUCUCGUAGAGGGGGGUAGAAUUCCAGGUGUAGCGGUGAAAUGCGUAGAGAUCUGGAGGAAUACCGGUGGCGAAGGCGGCCCCCUGGACGAAGACUGACGCUCAGGUGCGAAAGCGUGGGGAGCAAACAGGAUUAGAUACCCUGGUAGUCCACGCCGUAAACGAUGUCGACUUGGAGGUUGUGCCCUUGAGGCGUGGCUUCCGGAGCUAACGCGUUAAGUCGACCGCCUGGGGAGUACGGCCGCAAGGUUAAAACUCAAAUGAAUUGACGGGGGCCCGCACAAGCGGUGGAGCAUGUGGUUUAAUUCGAUGCAACGCGAAGAACCUUACCUGGUCUUGACAUCCACGGAAGUUUUCAGAGAUGAGAAUGUGCCUUCGGGAACCGUGAGACAGGUGCUGCAUGGCUGUCGUCAGCUCGUGUUGUGAAAUGUUGGGUUAAGUCCCGCAACGAGCGCAACCCUUAUCCUUUGUUGCCAGCGGUCCGGCCGGGAACUCAAAGGAGACUGCCAGUGAUAAACUGGAGGAAGGUGGGGAUGACGUCAAGUCAUCAUGGCCCUUACGACCAGGGCUACACACGUGCUACAAUGGCGCAUACAAAGAGAAGCGACCUCGCGAGAGCAAGCGGACCUCAUAAAGUGCGUCGUAGUCCGGAUUGGAGUCUGCAACUCGACUCCAUGAAGUCGGAAUCGCUAGUAAUCGUGGAUCAGAAUGCCACGGUGAAUACGUUCCCGGGCCUUGUACACACCGCCCGUCACACCAUGGGAGUGGGUUGCAAAAGAAGUAGGUAGCUUAACCUUCGGGAGGGCGCUUACCACUUUGUGAUUCAUGACUGGGGUGAAGUCGUAACAAGGUAACCGUAGGGGAACCUGCGGUUGGAUCACCUCCUU